rnacentral:rRNA from 1 species
GACGAACGCUGGCGGCGUGCUUAACACAUGCAAGUCGAACGGAAAGGCCCUGCUUUUGUGGGGUUCUCGAGUGCCGAACGGGUGAGUAACACGUGAGUAACCUGCCCUUGACUUUGGGAUAACUUCAGGAAACUGGGGCUAAUAUCGGAUAGGAGCUCCUGCUGCAUGGUGGUGGUUGGAAAGUUUCGGCGGUUGGGUAUGUACUCGCGGCUUAUCAGCUUGUUGGUGGGGUAGUGGCUUACCAAGGCUUUGACGGGUAGCCGGCCUGAGAGGGUGACCGGCCACAUUGGGACUGAGAUACGGCCCAGACUCCUACGGGAGGCAGCAGUGGGGAAUAUUGCACAAUGGGCGGAAGCCUGAUGCAGAAACGCCGCGUGCGGGAUGACGGCCUUCGGGUUGUAAACCGCUUUCGCCUGUGACGAAGCGUGAGUGACGGUAAUGGGUAAAGAAGCACCGGCUAACUACGUG